rnacentral:rRNA from 1 species
GACGAACGCUGGCGGCGUGCUUAACACAUGCAAGUCGAACGGAAAGGCCCUGCGUUUGUGGGGUUCUCGAUUGGCGAGCGGGUGAGUAACACGUGUGUAACCUGCCCUUGUCUUUGGGGUAACUUCAGGAAAAUCGGGCGCAUACAGGGUAGAAUAUCUUGCUGCGCGGUGGGGAAUGGAAAAAUUCGGCGGUGGGGGCUGGACUCGCUGGUUAUCAGCUUGUUUGUGUGGUAGGGGAUGACCAAGGCUUUGAAGGGUAGGCGGCCUGAGAGCGUUACCGGCGACAUUGGUACUGCGAGACGGCGCAGACUCCUACGGGAGGCAGCAGGCGGGAACAUUACACAAUGGGCGGAAGCCUGAUGCGGCAACGCCGCGUGCGGGAUGCCGGGCUUCGGGUUGUAAACCGAUUUCGCCUGUGACGAAGCGUGAGUGACGGUAAUGGGUAAGGAAGCACCGGCUAACUACGUG